AGCGUCAUGUAUGGGGACAAUGCGGCUAUGGAUUUUGGGGGCGGGGGGUUCAUGCCCUCGCAGCCCAGCGGCUUCGCUACUGGAGGCGGCGAUCCAUCCGUGAAGAAAUCUGGGGCUCCAAGCAGCGGUCUCUUUCCGCUUACUGUGAAGCAGAUGAGCCGGGCGAUUCAAUCGUCUACUGAUGAUAAUCUUAUUGUGGACGGCCAGUCUAUGAGCAAUGUCACGAUGGUGGGGAUGUUGCUCGGGAAAGAGGAAAGGGCGACGGAUAUUUCCUUCAUGCUUGACGAUGGAACUGGCAGAGUCGAAGUGAAAAGAUGGAUCGAGUCACCGGAUGCUCCCGAGGCUUUGCAGCUACACAGCAUUCAGCACGGACAGUAUGUACGAAUUCACGGACACCUUCGGACGUUCCAGAACAAGAGAACAGUUGUCGCUUUUGCAGUGAAGCCUAUCACAGACUUCAACGAGAUCACGUUCCACUUCCUGGACUGCAUCUUUGCACAUACCUACAACACGAAAUCACAGGGGGCGGCAAGGCCUGACGGUCCCGCGUCUCCUCCCACUUUCAAUCACACAAACUAUUCCAAUCCCGUAUCCAAUCCGUAUGCUACUCCAGCGGCUCCUGCGAAUUCCAAUGGGAUGAGUGAAUGCCAACGCCGGGUACAGGCGGUUUUUGAGGAGCCAUCUGUUAAGGAAAGUGAGCAGGGCCUUCACGUUGAUGAGAUUGCGAGACGCAUUACUGGUUUCUCCAAGAAGCAAGUCAGAGAUGCGGUGGAGUUUCUGGUGAACGAAGGUUACGUUUAUUCCACUGUCGACGACGAGCAUUUCAAGUCCACCAACACUUACUAAUGUCCGAUGGAUCCGCUCAGUAAAAAAAAGUAAGAGAGGUACUUGCGAAGUUUGCGGAAGUGUAGCCAAAGACAGGAACCACGAUGAAAGUAUAGAGAAACUUUGUUUUUAUCGUACGCAACGAGUCUAUAACUUAGCUUUCGAGUUAGAUAAUCCAAGUUGCACGAUGCGGCCGUGAUCACCGGGAACU